rnacentral:rRNA from 1 species
GAUCAUGGCUCAGGACGAACGCUGGCGACGCGCCUAACACAUGCAAGUCGAACGAGCGAGAGAGAGCUUGCUUUCUUGAGCGAGUGGCGAACGGGUGAGUAACGCGUGAGGAACCUGCCUCAAAGAGGGGGACAACAGUUGGAAACGACUGGCUAAUACCGCAUAAGCCCACGACCCGGCAUCGGGUAGAGGGAAAAGGAGCAAUCCGCUUUGAGAUGGCCUCGCGUCCGAUUAGCUAGUUGG